rnacentral:lncRNA from 1 species
AGAAAGUUUAGAUAGAAUGAUUUCUAUGUAAGCUUUUACUGUGUAGUCUGAGUCCAUGAAUAUUGAUUACAAAAAACACAUCUGUAGGUGAGUUACAAUACCUCACUUAUAAUUCAAAAUUCAUGUUGUGUUAGCUCAAUAUUUUUCAAAUAAUUUUUGCAUGCAAUUUUCACCUUCUUUCUGAGUAGUUUCAGGUAUUUUGUAUGGUUCCAGCAGUCAGUUAGGUUGCCAUUGUUUGGAAGCACACAUCCACGUAUCUGCACCAUGAUGAUAUGACACGCCCAUACCCCCCAUUUCACAUUUUGUCAGAAGUGCAUAGUUAUCACUAACUUUGCCAGUAGAAAUGUACUCCCAAUUUCCCACAGACUUAUCUUGAAUAAUCUCUCCACUGAAGCAUAACAGGUUUUGAAUUCUGUUAGAAUAGUUGUUUUUACUAUCUUUUAAUUUUAUACAAAUUUCAAAGUUACGUAAUACUUUUAUUUAAAAAGUGAAACAAAGCUUUUCCUCUCCCUUACCCACAUGUUAGCCCAGCAGAGGGGGAAAGCAUUGGCCCCAGGCCAAAAUCAUAAACGCUUUCAAUUAACUAAUAAUAAUUGCUGGCAUGUUGCCAUUAAAUAUC